CACCCGAACUGGUAGAGGACAUCCCAAGAUCAUGAAGGCGACUCACCCAAGGUGAGGCUUGGCUAUUCCAUCUUGGUGGUAUUGACCUCUGGAAAUUCCCCAAACAUGGAAAUCUCAACAACAUAAUAAUAGAGGGGGAAUGCGUUUGAGCUCUCCUCCA
rnacentral:snRNA from 1 species